GGGAGAAGUGACGGCCGGAGACGAGCAGAGGGAUCUGAAACGGUCUCAAUCGAAACCGCCAAUAUAUACAAAGUCGAAUGUCAACGCCGGAUGCGGGAACACGGAAUGGGGUUGAAUGGCGUGGAAGGGGCGUACGUCAGCGCGGAGCGUGGAAAGUGGAGAAUUCUCGCGAUGCGGCCACGCCGCCACAGAAGGAAGUGUUAAGGAAACGUCCUCUCCUCCCCCUCGCGUGAGGAGAACACGAUGUGCACAACUGCGUCGAGUGGCCGUUGCGCGGCAGUGCAAGGACGCGGCCUGGCUGCAUCCAGGACGCGGACGAGUCUUGCUUCCUACGGUGGAGGGACAUCCAGGACGGAAACAGGCCGCCGGUCCGGAACCGAGACUGCGAAGGAGCCGCCAGGAGCAGGACGCACGGGCUGGGGCCCCGCCGGACUCUGUAGCGGAGAGUCUCACCGCGCGCCGGCACCACCCAGGGGCUGGAGGGCAGAG